rnacentral:rRNA from 1 species
UACGUAGGGUGCAAGCGUUGUCCGGAAUUAUUGGGCGUAAAGAGCUCGUAGGCGGUCUGUCGCGUCGGAUGUGAAAAUCCAGGGCUCAACCCUGGACCUGCAUUCGAUACGGGCAGACUAGAGUUCGGUAGGGGAGACUGGAAUUCCUGGUGUAGCGGUGAAAUGCGUAGAUAUCAGGAGGAAUACCGAUGGCGAAGGCAGGUCUCUGGGCUGACACUGACGCUCAUGCACGAAAGCGUGGGGAGCAAACAGG